GACGUAGGGGGCAAGCGUUGUCCGGAUUUACUGGGCGUAAAGGGUGUGCAGGCGGGCUGUUAAGUGGUGUAUGAAAUCGCCGGGCUCAACCGGGCGAGGUUAUGCCAGACUGGCAGUCUAGAGAGCGAGAGAGGGACGUGGAAUUCCGGGUGUAGUGGUGAAAUGCGUAGAGAUCCGGAGGAACCCCAGAGGCGAAGGCGGCGUCCUGGCUCGCAUCUGACGCUCAGACACGACAGCAUGGGGAGCGAACGGG
rnacentral:rRNA from 1 species